rnacentral:lncRNA from 1 species
CUCUGUUCAUUUUUGUUUUUUCUCUCUGUUCUUCAGCUUGUGUAAUCUCCUGUGAUCUGUGUUCAAGCUCACUAGUUCUGCCAGUUCAGAUCUUCUGUUCACCCCCUCUAGUGAAUUUAUAAUUUCUGUCCUCUAUUGAUAUUCUCUAUUUGAUGUGACCUUGUCAUCAAACCAUCCCUUCUUUAAUUGUGCUUUCCCUCGGUUCUGUGCAUGUGUUUAUAACAGCUGCCUUGCAGUCCUUUCUGUUAACUAUGGCAUCUGCUCCCUCUCACAGGCAGUUUCUAUCACCUGCUUUUUUACCGGUGGUGUGCGAGUCAUGUUUUCCUGUUUCUGUGUGUGCUUUGUAAUUUUUUGUGGGAAAGUGGACAUUUUAGAUAAAAUAUUUAACAACGCUGGGUCCUGGCCCAACCCCUCUCCUCACUGGGGCUUGUUUUUGUUGCUUGCUUGUUUAGUGACUGGCUGGAUUAUCUUGGUGAAGUCUAUUCCUCUUCCCCUGCAUUGCUCAGCCUCUGAUGCUUUCCUCAGGGAGGUGCGUGAGAAUGCCCACAGUCACCCUUGCCCGUGGUCAUUAGACCCAUGUGUCUCCUCCCUGCCACCUCUCACCACAACCUCCGCGGUUCUGGAGAACACCGUCAGGUUUAAACUUCCAAGGUUCUGCUGCAGGUGAAGUCAGUUCCUAUGGGAAGAGAUCAGGAACUUCUCCCACAGGCAAUAUCUCUGAGCCAGGGCCCGAUGGCAAGCUUCUGAGAGACACCUCCAAUCUAGGAGCUGAGCCCUCAGUGGGUGGGGGCAGCAGCCUCUCCUGGCACGGACUCACUUCCCCGUGAGCUGGGAGGGGAGUGCCAGUAUUCUCAGCAUGCCAGGCCCAAGGCAGAGGCUCCUCCCACAAGUGGGGGCUGAGCAGAAGAAGGGAGCCCCACCUCUCAGCCAUACCUGCCUAGGACUCAGCCUCAGCAACAGGUUUCUGGGGGCAGGAUAAGAAGUGCUGAAGUCAUCCGGGGAAGAAAGUUCUGUGACUGGAGGCAGGGGCGGGGCCUGAGGGGACCCUAUGUUCUUAUGUUGAAAAGAGCGGUGAGAGUAGACAUCCUUGCCUUGUUCCCAAUCUUAGGGAGAAGCUUCCAGUCUUUGACCAUCAAGUAUGAUGUUAGCUGUGGGCUUUUGUAUAUGAUCUUGGUCAAGUUUAUUUCAACUUGCUGAGAAGUUUUUUAAAAUGUAGGGGCCGGCCCAGUGGCUUAGUGGUUAAGUUCAGCAUGGUCUGCUUCAGUGGCCCAAGGUUUGCGGGUUGGGAUCCUGGGCGCAGACCUACACCACUCAUCAAGCCAGGCUGUGACAGCAACACACAUUCAAACUAGAGGAAGAUUGGCACAGAUGUUAGCUCAGGGCCAAUCUUCCUCACCAAAAAAGAAAAAACCUAAAUGGCUGUUGGAUUAUGUCAAAUGCUUUUUCUGUAUCAGUUACAUUAUCAUAUAGUUUUUCUUUAGUCUGUUGGUAUGCUGGGUUACAUUGAUUUUCAAGUGUUGAACCACCCUUGCAUACCUGGAAUAAAUUGCAUUUGGUUGUGGGGUAUAAUUCUUUUUAUACAUUGUUGGAUUUGAUUUUCCAAUAUUUUAUUGAGAAAUAAAAUAAAAUAAAAACUUGUCCCU